GUAUUAUCCUAGUGUAUAUGUUAGUAUUAGUCCCAUCCAUUCCUGCAACCGAUCCUGGGUUUUUAAUUGGUGGGAAAGGAACCUUUGUGUGCUCUCGUUGAGCCCAGGACCUCCCCUAUUUCAUUGCAUCCAGUGAAGGGGCUAUGUCUGUGUCACCUCGUCCCAUCUUUCCCUACGUUAUUACUACUUUAGGGGUUAGCCGAAGUGAUGAAUCUUGU